GGUUAAAGCCAUACUGCGAUGAAUACACCACAACUCUUCAGAACUGUGCAGUUAACCAUCGCAGGGCCCGGAUAGUACUGAGGUGGGGGACCGCUCGGGAAGUCCUUAGGGUGCUGCCAGCU
rnacentral:rRNA from 1 species